CAUAGCAUGUUUUUUUUUUUUUAAAUAUAAAGUAACCAAACAAAUUUGUAUUCAUUAUAUGAAAAUGUGAAGGGAAAAAAUGGUUGAAAUUCACAAUUUUAUUUAUGCAAUGAUCCUUCUUGUUUUCAUGUUUAUUGUUGUAGUUGACAGUUGGAGUUGGGGGCUUACAACAGAGUGUGUCACUGAACUUGAUUGUUAUAAAAAAUAUCGAUUGCCGGCGGAAAAAAAAAUGAAGUGCAUUAGAGGGUCUUGUUAUAGAGUUCGCGAAUAAGGUUGCUCAUUUUUAGAAGGAGUUUGAUGCUAGUCUGAGGCUUAAUUAUAUGACUUUCACCUUCUAGUGUUGUCUCUCCUUUGUCAGCUUCAUUGGUGCUUUGCUGUCCUUUUAUUUGGAUUUUAUGUUUAGUUUGCUGUAUUGUAAUGGUUUAUUGUAUUCUUGUGGGUAUUUAUUUUUACUUAGGUUAUGUUACCACCAUGAUAUGUUCGAUGUAUAAGUCAGGGAAAAAUUUUGUGUUAAAGUGAUGUAAUGUAGGUUUUGCAGUAAUUUUGUACUUUACAGUUUUUUAUACAGAAGUGAUACGUGAACAA